rnacentral:misc_RNA from 1 species
GAUGAAGAACGCAGCGAAAUGCGAUAAGUAAUGUGAAUUGCAGAAUUCAGUGAAUCAUCGAAUCUUUGAACGCACAUUGCGCCCCCUGGUAUUCCGGGGGGCAUGCCUGUCCUAGCGUCAUUACAACCCUCAAGCUCAGCUUGGUGUUGGGCCCCGCCGCCCCGGCGGGCCCUAAAGUCAGUGGCGGUGCCGUCCGGCUCCGAGCGUAGUAAUUCUUCUCGCUCUGGAGGCCCGGCCGCGUGCCCGCCAGCAACCCCCAAUUUUUUUCAGGUUGACCUCGGAUCAGGUAGGGAUACCCGCUGAACUUAAGCAUAUCAAUAAGCGGAGGA